GAUGAAGAACGCAGCGAAAUGCGAUAAGUAAUGUGAAUUGCAGAAUUCAGUGAAUCAUCGAAUCUUUGAACGCACAUUGCGCCCGCUAGUAUUCUGGCGGGCAUGCCUGUCCGAGCGUCAUUUCAACCCUCAAGCCCCCGGGCUUGGUGUUGGGGAUCGGCGAGCCUCCGCGCCCGCCGUCCCCUAAAUCUGGUGGCGGUCUCGCUGUAGCUUCCUCUGCGUAGUAGCACACCUCGCACUGGGAAACAGCGCGGCCACGCCGUUAAACCCCCAACUUCUGAACGUUUGACCUCGGAUCAGGUAGGAAUACCCGCUGAACUUAAGCAUAUCAAUAAGCGGAGGA
rnacentral:misc_RNA from 1 species